UCCCUGGAGGACUAGUGUUUAGGCCUCAGCACACUCACCACUGUGGCCCGGGUUCGAUUCCCAGUCAGGGAA
rnacentral:tRNA from 1 species